rnacentral:rRNA from 1 species
AAGAUUGAUGAGAGUGGACAACGGGUGCGUAACACGUAAACAACUUGCCUUAGUUGGGGAUAGCUUGCCGAAAGGUGAAUUAAUACCGAAUGGUGGAUGGUUUCCGCAGUGGGUAAUUUUUUCUUAAAAAUUUGUAAUGAGUGACUAAGGGAGAGGUUUGCGGCCUAUCAGCUAGUUGGUAAGGUAAUGGCCUACCAAGGCUAAGACGGGUAGCUGGUCUGAGAGGAUGAUCAGCCACAUUGGAACUGAGAUACGGUCCAGACACCUACGGGUGGCAGCAGUUUCGAAUCAUUCACAAUGGACGAAAGUCUGAUGGUGCAACGCCGCGUGAAGGGAUGAAGGUCUUCGGAUUGUAAAACCUCUGUCGCUAAGGAGCAAACGCUAGGUUCAUAGCCUAGCCUGAGUUAACUUUGAAAGGAAGCAGUGGCUAACUCCGUGCCAGCCGCCGC